ensembl:lncRNA
AUGCGCAGUAGCCGGACUCGGCGGCUCUUCCGGUUAAAGGAUGACGUCAGGGACACGCGCAAGCAAGACGGUCUUUUCCGGUUCGGAGCGGCGAGGAGUGUGGCAGCUGAGACAUCGUGGCCCCGGAGAUCAGGCUCCUCAGGAGAUGUUGCUCCGUCAGAUGGAAGGUCUCUCUCUGGUUCUGGUUCAGCACUCAGGAGAUGUUUGCCAGCUCCUGCAGAUGCUGGUGAAUGUGGUCAUUAAUGGUGUUUGGGUCAGGAGGAGCGUCGAGCGUCUCAACAGUGCUGUCACCGGAUCAUCACACCACUACCACCAAAGAUGAGCUGGAAAGUUUAACAGUUGGGCUUCACACAUCUGUUGCUUUAUAAACUUAUGAAUAAAUGAUAUUUCAUAACAGAAAUAUGAAAUGGA